rfam:Moellerella wisconsensis ATCC 35017 Sequence00006, whole genome shotgun sequence.
CGUGUGGUGUCCGGCGUUAGGGCGGGAUGGCGACACGGCCUUAAUAGAGGU